rnacentral:rRNA from 1 species
AGAGUUUGAUCAUGGCUCAGGACGAACGCUGGCGGCGUGCCUAAUGCAUGCAAGUCGAGCGGGCUACGAUCUUCGGAUUGUAGCUUAGCGGCGAACGGGUGAGUAACACGUAGGUGAUCUACCCUUCAGAGGAGGACAACCUCAGGAAACUGAGGCUAAACCUUCAUACGUUCACUGGUAGGGAUACUGGUGAAGAAAGAGUUACCCCUAGAGGGUAGCUGCUGAAGGAUGAGCCUGCGGCCCAUCAGGUAGUUGGUGAGGUAACGGCUCACCAAGCCGAAGACGGGUAACCGGUCUGAGAGGAUGUCCGGUCACACUGGGACUGAGACACGGCCCAGACUCCUACGGGAGGCAGCAGCAGGGAAUCUUGGGCAAUGGGCGAAAGCCUGACCCAGCGACGCCGCGUGGAGGAAGAAGUCCUUCGGGGCGUAAACUCCUGGACUGGGGGACGAGGAAGGACGGUACCCCAGUAGAAAGGGACGGCUAACUACGUGCCAGCAGCCGCGGUAAAACGUAGGUCCCGAGCGUUGUUCGGAUUCACUGGGUGUAAAGGGCGCGUAGGUGGUUGUCUGUGUCACAUGUGAAAACUCAGGGCUCAACUCUGAGAUUGCGUGGGAAACUAGGCAGCUAGAGGACGGUAGAGGGGAGUGGAAUUCCCGGUGUAGCGGUAAAAUGCGUAGAUAUCGGGAGGAACACCGGUGGCGAAGGCGGCUCUCUGGGCCGAUCCUGACGCUGAGGCGCGAAAGCUAGGGGAGCGAACCGGAUUAGAUACCCGGGUAGUCCUAGCCGUAAACGAUGGGUGCUAGGUGUUGGGGGGGUAAAGACCCUUCAGUGCCGAAGCCAACGCGAUAAGCAUCCCACCUGGGGAGUACGGCCGCAAGGUUGAAACUCAAAUGAAUUGACGG